rnacentral:lncRNA from 1 species
ACAUAAGAAGUUACUAUAGGCUUCUAUCAAACUUCCCCUUUUAUAUUCCUUUUCUCGUAUAUUUACACGUGUGCCUCGGUGUAUAUAUUAGACCUAAAGAACGUGUGGAAUUAAACGUUAACACACCCACUUUUGACAGCGUGUUAACGUCUAAUUACUUUGAAUUAAAGUAUGUAUAUAUAUGGGGGAAAGGGGCGUGAAGAGAUCGAUUCUAUACUAUAAGUGGCUAAAUAUGAGAUAUUAAAGAAUCUAGGGGGGCUUUUAGUUUCUUCCUUCUUGUCUUUUAGAAAUGCUCCUUGUGAA